GACGAACGCUGGCGGCGUGCUUAACACAUGCAAGUCGAACGGAAAGGCCCUGCUUUUGUGCGGUGCUCGAGUGGCGAACGGGUGAGUAACACGUGAGUAACCUGCCCUUGACUUUGGGAUAACUUCAGGAAACUGGGGCUAAUACCGGAUAGGAUCUCCUGCUGCAUGGUGGGGGUUGGAAAGUUUCGGCGGUUGGGGAUGGACUCGCGGCUUAUCAGCUUGUUGGUUGGGUAGUGGCUUACCAAGGCUUUGACGGGUAGCCGGCCUGAGAGGGUGACCGGCCACAUGGGGACUGAGAUACGGACCAGACUCGUACGGGAGGCAGCAGUGGGGAAUAUUGCACAAUGGGCGGAAGCGUGAUGCAGCAACGCCGCGUGCGGGAUGACGGCCUUCGGGUUGUAAACAGCUUUCGCCUGUGACGAAGCGUGAGUGACGGUAAUGAGUAAAGAAGCACCGGCUAACUACGUG
rnacentral:rRNA from 1 species